UUCCCCGGCGGCCGCCAGAGGCACAAGAGCGCCGGGCCCGCGCGCGUCUUGGCCCCGCCUCAGAGCCGGCUCCCGGCGCAGCGCCCCGCCCCGCCCCGCCCCGCCCCUUGGGUCCCUCCUGAGCACGGGAAGGGAGAUCAAGGCAGGGGGAAUAAAAAUCAACCAUUUAAAUAAACAAACAAACAAAUAAGGAUUUUUUAAUUUAUUUCAAUCAGCUUUUUUAUUUAAUUUUUUUUUGGGGGGGGGGUUUGGUAAAUGUUUUUUUAAAAAAAAAAUAAACCCAACCUAUAUGUAGUUUUAAUUUAAGAUAAGUUGGAACUCAAAGAUACCAUCAUACUACAAGCAGACCUGGACAGGUUGGACAUAUGGGCGGAAAACAACAGAAUGCAGUUCAACAAGGAGAAAUGCAAAGUGCUGCACCUAGGUGUCAUGACCCAAAGGUCUGAUUUUUUGUGUGUGCUUCGGCACUAAGAAUUAUCCCCGUGGGUUUGCAACUUCAUUGCACGGAGGAGUUCUGCUGCGCAGAGAACCCGCGUGCAAGGGAGUGUUCCUGCCACUUAGCAGCGAUCUUUGCAGGGUGCAUUUCCCUUUGCAACACAGAAAUGCACAGUGCAAAGAUUUCCCACUCGUCAUAUGCAAAUUUGUGCCCUGCAAUUGGCUAGUGCUAAAUUAUUCACACGUGGUGGCUAGCGAUUGGCCUGCUAGCCGUAUAAGAGGCUUGAGCAGUUUCUGCCCAAGCUGAAGAGGACUCCGCAUCCAUCUUGUGGGGACUCUGGGUGUGCACAGCAGGGUAAUAGAAACCCUGUGUAUUGCUUAGAGGAGUUUGGCGGCUUGAUCCACCGCCCACCUCUUCCCGUCUUUGAACGGAGCCUACUAUAAGACGUAACGACGAGUUUAAUGUGCGCUUGCCCUGGACAUCCGGAGUUUGUCUGCGUGGAGCCUAGCAAGCUCCACGUGAUUGUUCGUGUUCUGUCUGCGUGGAGCCUUGCAACCUCCAUGUGUGUUCGUGUUUUCUGUUGUAACCGCAACUCAAGCAAGUUCUCAGCCUACACCACGACCGUCUCGGUAUAACAGCAUCCAGUGGAAUUACCUUUACUCUGGUCAAAAAUACCAGCAAAACACACCAUAAUUUUCAGGACCUGGAACAUCAGGAUCCUCAAGGACAACCCUAAGAGUGAACACCCUGAGCACCCGGCUGCAAUCAUAGCCCAAGAAUUCAGGCAACACAACAUUGAUGUAGCUGCACUGAACAAGACCCCACAUCUCAAAGAACAUGGAGGCAGCUACACAUUCUUCUGGAAGGGUAAACAGGAAGGAGAACAUUGACUUUACGGAAUUGGUUUUGCUGUUAAGAAUGAACUCAUAAACCAACUUAAUGAGUUCCCUAUAGGAAUUAAUAAGCGUUAAGCACCUCAUGACUUUCCAUCUUAAACUGGUGGGGAGCCAGUAUGCCACUGUCAUCAGUGCAUAUGCCCCAUCUCUUGACACUGCCCAUGAAACCAAGGAGGAAUUCUACAUCAGCCUUGACCAAGUCAUUUCUGAUAUUCUGGAGGAAGACAGGCUUAUUUUUCUUGGUGAUUUCAAUGCCAGAUUUGGAAGGGACUCUAUAUUCUGGAAUGGAACCUUCGGCAAAGAAGGAGCAGGAAAGAUCAACUUCAAUGGCAUUCUCCUCUUGACCAAAUGUAUGGAACAUGGACUCACCAUCACCAACACGCUGCUCUAAAAGAAAAACAGGCACAAGAUAUCAUGGCAACACCCAUGAUCUAAGCAUUGGCACCUGAUUGACUAUGUCAUCAUCUAUGCCUGGGAUCGCAAAAAUGUCCGCAUCCCCCAAGCUAUGCUAGGAGCUGAUGAUUGCUGGACUGAUCACCAACUCAUGCUGUCAGUUAUGUCACUCAAACUGGCUCCCAAACGACGGCUGCAGCAGAAGCAAUACUAACAGAAGCUCAAUGUUAAAGGACUCAAGGACCCAAGCAAACAAGACCUCUUCCACCAGUGCCUCAGCGAAAAACUAGUGAAUUCCAAUCAACAUCAAUGGGAGAAUGUCAGCAGCAUGUGGGGUGCCCUCAAUGCCACCACCAUUAGUGGCUGUGAAGAUGUACUUGGAUUCUCUUCCAGGAAACACCAACACUGAUUUGAUGAGAACUACCAGGAGAUCCAAGAGUUGAUUAAUCACAAGGACAAGGCCUUUUGUGCUUGGCAAAACAACACCAACACUAAGCAAAAGAAACUGAAUCUCCAGCAACCCAAGGCAGAGGUCCAAAGGAGGACUGUAACAGGGAACCCUAGCCCUGUUAACAGGAGGCAGGGUGGCCUCUUUAAAUCAGGGGCACACUCACCAGCCUAUUAAAAAUAUGCAGCCAAAGAUGUCAGUCUUCAAGAAAGCAGACAAGUCUGACUGGAAACUACAAAAGGAUCACUUUGCUGUCAACCACAGGAAAAAUCAUUGUAAGAACCCUCCUGAACCAUCUCCUUCCACUUGCUGAAAAGCUCCUGCUGGAAUCUCAAUGUGAGUUUAGGGCAUCAAGAGGCACAACUGACAUGAUCUUCACAGCUUGCCAGCUUCAGGAGAAAUGCUAGGAACAAUAUAAAUCUCUCUACAUGGCCUUCUUUGACCUCAUGAAAGCUUUUGACUCUGUCAGCUGAGAAGUGUUGUGGAGGAUCCUUCUGAAGGAUGGAUGGCCACCCAAAAGUGUCACAUUAUCUGCCUGCUCCAUGAUGGUAUGCGAAUGGUGGUUCUCAGUAAUGGAUCAGCCACAGAUCCCUUUGAGGUUAAACUGGGAGUUAAGCAAGAUUGUAUCAAUGCUCCAACACUUUUCUCAAUGUUCCUUGCCACAAUGCUACAUUUGACCACCAACAAGUUUCUAGCCAGAGGGGCACUAAACUACUGAAUGGAUGAUAACCUGUUUAACUUCAGCUGACUCCAAACCAAAACCAACACCACCCUGACCUCAAUCACUGAGCACCAGGAUGCUGAUGAUGCUGUAGUCUGUGCUCACUUGGAAGCAGAACUUCAGGCAAUCAUUCUUCACUGAGGCAUACAAGAAAAUGGGAUGGACACUUAACAUUCAGAAGAUUAAGGUCCUCCACCAACAAGCUCCUAAUGAACAGUCUCCAGCUCUGGUAAUCCAGAAUCAUGGUGAGACUCUGGAGAACACUGAGAAUUUCUCAUACUUCAGAAGCUAUCUCUCACAAAAGGCUACCAUCAAUGAAGAAAUCCAACAUAGCCUCAAAUGCAAUGUUCCCUCUAAGCUGCGUGGUGUGCGUGGCCGCGCAGGCAUGCUCAUGCCACGCUGCCAGGCCUGCGUGUGCAGCCGUGCACGCCACACAGCUUAGAGGGAACGCUGCUCAAAUGUACAAGUACGGCCUUUGAAUGCCUGAAGAAAUGAGUGUUCAAAGAUUGUGAUAUCAAAUCUGAACUAAGUUAAUGGUUUAUCAAGCAGUUGUGAUCCCCACCUUGCUGUAUGUAGCUGAGACAUGGACAACAUACAGGAGACAUCUAAGGUUGUUGGAGAGGUACCAUCAAUGCUACCUGUGGAAGAUCCUCUGAAUCCAGCGGGAAGACAGAAACACCAACAUUAGCAUCCUCCUGCAAGCAAACACCACAAGUACUGAGGCGAUGAUCAUCCAGCAUCAACUUCAUUGGACCGGCCAUGUCAUCAGGAUGUCUGACUCCAGACUUCCAAAGAAAGUUUUAUUCUCCCAGCUCAGCCAAGGUGUAUGCUCAGGAGGAGAGCAGAGAAAAUGCUUCAGGGAUGUCCUCAAGUUCUACUUAAAAAAAUGCAACAUCAAUGUCAGCUCGUGGGAGACUAUCGCUCAGGAUUAUCCCAAAUAGAGGAAGAGCCUGCUACAGAGAUUUCAGUACUUUGAAACCUCAUCAUAACAACAGGUAAUGGAAGAGUGGGAGUGGCAGAAAUGUGUUGUGUACCAAAUAAGGAAUCCAGCUCCACCCACCCCAUAUGGAAACACAUGUCUGAGCUGCAGUAGCAUCUGUCGAUCCUGGAUAGACCUCACAUUAGCCACCUUCGGACACACAGAUAAGACAAUCAUGGAAUGUAAUCAUCCAUGACCACGAGAUUACAUAUUUCCAUUUAUUUAUAAAAAAUACUGACACAGCCUAGCAUGAGCAGUAACCCCAGCUGGCAUUCCUGAAAGGUCUUUAUGAAGAUUGAACAGCCUGAAAGCAAUACUAGGAACUGUUUUACUGUUUGAGAAAUGUACACUACUGUUUGAAGGUUUAUGAGUGGGGGUUUAACGUUAUUGUCAUUGGUUAAAUGACUAACAGAAGACUCAUUCUAUUGCUCUCGCCCCUCUAACAAGUAGAAUAGCUCAGGACUUAAACCUAUACUUUUUUAAGCAUGUGCAAGUUUCUGUUCACCAAACAACUUAAGCCUGAGCUGAGUACAGAUGCCUAUGUGCUUAAGUACUUUGCUGAAUCAGGGCCUAGUAUUUUACUCUGUAAAUAGUCACAUCAGAAUCAAAAGAACUACUCUAAAGAAAGUUAUUCAAAAUAAGAAUCACAGAACUAGGCUCUGAAUCCUGAUCCCUCCCCAGUGGAGUCAAUGAAUAGUCGUAUUGAUUUAGAUAUUAAAGAUAAGUACACAGAAGUAAUGGCAGGAUUAAAGCUCCUUGAGAAGGUGCCCAGUGGUAGCAAUGGAUGUCCCUCAUCUUUGUAUGGAAAUUCCAGUCCGAACUGAUGCCACAAGUUAGAUGACUCCAUCUUCUACUUGUUUAAUUAUUUGAGGUUUCUAUUUUGUUUCCCCUCAGUGAAUGGUGCUAGUAAUUAUUUUAGUUUUCUGUCUUAGUGUAAUAAUUUUUGAUUCUCCUCAACAUUUCUUAGGGAGAUCUAGCUUGAUUUGUGAUUAUUCCAUCAUUUUCAUCAGCAUAUUUGUUUUGGUUACUGCUUUAUUUUGUUACAGUUUCUUUGAAGAUAAUUUUUCUUCUUUCAUUUUAUGGCACCAGGGAAGUAUAAAUUACACAAGAAGUCAAAGCUCCAGAUGCUGCAAGAAUAAUUUAUGAAACCUAAGUUAAAAGAGAUGGGAGAGAGUCCUCGCUCUAAGGUUGUACUUCACACUCCCUCCCCAGAUACGGGUGAAACACUAGCCCCACUGAGGUCAAGGGAAGAAUGCCCAUUGACUUCAAUAAGAUCAGAAUUUCAUCCACAGUCUAUUGGUAGGGACCUACCAAAUUCAUGAUGGCAGUGGGGUGCACUAGUCUGUGGCUCCUUUAAUCUUGCAGGUUUCCUUGUGUGCGGGCCAGGAGCGGUCCGAGGCCCUCGGGGGCGCACGCCGCGGGCUGUGGCCAGCAGCCCUGGCACACGGGUCAGGGAAUGCAGGCCGGUGGACUAGAAUUAGGCACGGACGCUUAGUGGUUGAUUAAAGAUUAUUUUACUUACACCGAAGAUGGUCGCGGUGCAGGCAGGAAAACUUGCUUGAGUUGCAGUUACAGACAGAAAAGAAGAGAAGCGGACAAGAGUUCCUUCCACGCGAACCUCUAGCCCAAUCCGGUUGAAGGCUCUAAACACGCGAGCCCGUCAUGUCAACCGAAGAAAACAACUCAGAGAAAGAGCUCUGGAUACACUCACACGAAGUUUGCUAGGCUCUGUGGAACUUGCGCGCAGGGAAGGGGUUCGUCAAGGGAUCGUUCGGCGAUGGGAAGAGGUCAGAGGUUGAUCAGACACCUAUAGCCUUCUCAAGGUACACUCUGGGUCCAUUAGGCUCCGCAGCGCUUGGAGAUCUUCACAAGACGUGAAGUUCUCCUCCUCCUGAUGGUUGUGGAGUCCUCCAACUUGGGCGGAAACCGCUCAAGCCUCUUAUACGGCUAGCAAGCCAAUCGCUAGCUGCCACGUGGGAAUAAUUUAGAACUGGCCAAUAGUGGGACACAAAUUUGCAUGCGGGUGGCAGGAAUUUCUUUGCACCAGGGUUUUCUCUUUGCAACUGAGAAAUGCACCCUGCAAAGAAAGCUCCGAGUGGCAGGAAAUAAUUUAGCAGUGCCGAAGCACACACAAACAAAAUCACACCCUUGGGUUGUGACACCCUGUACCCCCACCUCUGCUGAUUGGUGGAGGGGCCCCACUUGCAGCUCGCUCCUGAUCAGCAGGAAGGCAAAAACUGUGGUUUUAAAUAUGGCCCCAUUUUUGCCUCCUGUCGCUGAUUGGCUGAGUGGCCCUGGAUGGCCCGCCUGUUUGCUGCUGACUGGCAGGGAGGAAAAAAUUAAGCCAUGUUUAAAAUUGUGUGGUUUUAGCUUCCUUGCUGAUCAGGAGGGAGCAGAAGAGUCCUCUGCUAAUCAGCACCACAGACAGGGUCAAGGUGCACAUGGGGGAAUAUGCAAAAUUAAAGGAUCCUCUGCACACACUAUUUCUGCAGUGAAUUUGGUAGGUCCCUAUCUAUUGCGUUUGUUAUUUUUAGAAUCUAAUGAGAAAAACAUUAUAAUUAUAUUUAACUGCUUUCUGCCAGUUUGAGUGCUGUGUUGGAGAGUACGAGAUGUUGUUCCAGGUACCUUCUGAGUAAGGGGGCUAGAGCAGCAGUGGGCAAACUGUGGCCAGAUCUGGACUACCAAGGGAUUGUAUUUGGCUUGCAGUGGGUCCCUGGGCCCCACCUGGCCCAGGUAUGUGGGCCACCCCAAGCCAUGGUGUAUGCAACCAGUCCCACUGCCCCUGCGUGUGUUGUGGGGCUGGGGCAGUGUGGCUGCUGGACUCAGCUUCCUGGCAGCCCUGGUGGUGGUGGCUCAUUUCAGCUGCUGUUGCCAGUGUUGCUGCCAGCACCAGACCCAGCCCCUCUGCUUGGGCACCCUGACCCAUCUGUCCCACCCCCACUGCAGGGGAUGCCGAAUGGAGUGUGCAGGUGGGGUCUGCAUGGUGACCAGCCCAGGACGCCCAUGGACAGGACACGCCUGGCCAUGCAGAUGAGAUGGUGCUGUGGGUGGGCAAGGAGUGGUGUCUGGGAGUGGGACAAGCAGGCAGGGUCAGGAUCACAGGACAGUGACAACAUGGGGCCGGGACCCGGGGCAGAGCUACAAUCUGCUCCCACCGUGUACCUGGAACAAGCAGUGUUCCACAGGCAGGGACAUGCAGGGAGCAGAUCUCAGCCCUGCCCUGGGCCCCAGCCCUGGCUUGUGCUGUCACUGCUCCAAGAUCCUAGCCCUGGCCCUGCCUGCCUGUCCUGCUCCUGGAUCUGCAGCCCCAUCCCAUCUGCCCAGCAAAGCAUUUCCUGCCUGUGGGAUUCCUGGAGACCCUGCCCUCCUGCUCUGUCUGGGGCCUCUGGCAGUAGGUGCAGGGUGGAUGGGUCCAGGCCGGAUAGGAUCAAUUGCCCUCCCCCGCCCCCUGCACUCACCCGCCAUGCCAGGUCAGCACCACCCUCCUGCCAUGCCAUGUUUGGUCACCACUGCCCUUCUCCCCCUUCCCCAGCCCACAACAUCUUACCGAAUCUCUCUAAAUGGAGAUCAAGCCCAAAUAAUUGCCCAUCCCUGGGCCAGUGCCUGGAUCUCUUGCUUCCUGGAUGAGCGCUCCCCUCCCCCCCCCAUUUAAAGCCUGCUAGUCAUGGGUUUUUGUCAGACUACAAUUUCACAAAUUACCUGGCGCAUACCUGAGUGAGCAUAUGCACGUGGUCCAUGUACCUGCACAGCCCUGCUGAGUAUGUGUUUUUUUGGGUGCCCAGAGGUCAAUUGCAAACUUGUCUGCAAGUGCCAAAAGUGGUAUUUAUGAGGCAGAGUAACAGCUAUUUAGGCACAUAAAGUACAUUCUUAUUCCGCCCUAAAGGCCUAAUUUUAAAGCUGUGGAGCUCUCCAGUUAGGAUUAUUCAUUCUUCUCACUUCUGAAAAUCUGGCUGUAAGUACUUGCCUUGCCUAAGAGUAUAACUGUACAGUGAACUAGUGACAAAGGUGAGACCAGAACCCAGGAGGCCUGGCUACCAGUAUGCUACUAUAUCCACCCACUAGUUAUACCUACCCUACCUAUCAGGCUAUCAGUCAGGAACUAAAUUCCAGAUAACAACAGCAUAUAAUUGUUUAACCUUUUGCCAUAAUAUGAUAGUUAAUAAUAUAAUAGUUAACAUUUCCUUUUCUGAAUGCUAAUUAUUCUACAUACUUUUAAAUGACUAUGGCUGGCUCCAUUAUGGUAUUAGGGUUAACGUAUAAGUAUGGCAGUGCGUACAAGUGUUGUCAUAUACUAGAUACUUUAAAAUUGUGUUUACUUCUUUGUAUACUUUCAUAUCUUUUGCUGCUGUGUUUUAGGAUACUGUGAUCAGUUCCUAUGUCUAGAACAUCACAACUACGUGAUACGCUCUUAGGAUUUCUGGUGACAUCACAAUAGCUGGUCUGAGUCUGACAAUAACAUUUAAUGCAGAGCCAGUCAGUGCACACUGUAAGGAUGAUAGGAGGAAGAGGAUGAGCUAUUCUCUUGAUGAAUCAAUUGCUGUCCCAAUGAUUUCCUAAGCAAAGGAACUUUUUCCUGUUAUCUGAAUGAAAAAUUGCAGGCUCUGGUCCAAUGGCUAUCUUACAUUGACCAAUAAAACCCAACAUUAUGACCUAACGUCACCGAGGUCUACUCCUCUCUCCCAGAACUAUUUGCCACAUCUCUAAUUGAACACGUGGAUCUUGGACUGGCCUCCUCAGCCAUCUACAGACUCACUGAUGACUUUCCUAUUUACUGGAAGACUGCCAUCCUCAUAUCAAGGGACUGACAUCACCUCUGAUGAACUGGUUCUCUUCAAAGAAGAAAGCCCAAUGCAUCAUCCUAAGAGAUGAUAUCAUGAACAUUGGAAAAUUUCUGGAACACAGCUUGAAGCACAGAAUCUCCUGGACCUUCUAGAUCCAGUUUUGUACUGUCCCAACUCAGAGCUGUGCAUAAUUAUCAUAGCAUCUGGAAAACCAUGAAUAGUCUCGUAGGUGUAACGUGGGGUUUGCUUACUUCUUUUUUUUUUUUAAAUCAUUAAAGUAUUUUCUUUUAUUGUG